GUACCCAGUUUGUAUUGUUUCAGUUACUGAAAGUGGACUUUUAGUAGAUUUUCAGAAAAUAGCAGUUAUGAAUGAAAAAGCCAGCUGUUUAAGCCUCUCUUCUGGUAUACCUUCUUCUCAGUCUAUUGUAGAAUCUUUAAAAUUUUUAAUCUUUAAAGCAUUAGUCUUGCCUUUUGUAUUCUUUCCUUGAAUGAUUUUUGCUGAUAAAACACAGGGUUUUCCUGUGCUGUUUGUAAGAGAUAUAUAAUUUCCAGUUUGGGGGUAAUUUUAGUGUUGAAAGUACCCUGCCAAAAAGAAUUGAACUAUGAAAUUAAAAUCUUAUCGAUU
rnacentral:lncRNA from 1 species